ACCUGGGUAUCUUAGUCGGUUAAGUAUCUGACUUCAGCUCAGAUCAUGAUCUCGCAGUGUGUGGGUUCCAGCCCCACGUCAGGCU
rnacentral:tRNA from 1 species